rnacentral:sRNA from 1 species
GUUGAAUAUGCUUACCGUAGACAGUAGGUGCUUUCGGGCUUAAUUUCCUACCGAGGUGUUAUGAUAGAACGUUUCAUGCGACGGGCUUGUCCCGUCCAUGUGGAUUUAUCAAGCCUUCGUACUCUGCGGAGGCUUUUUUCAU